AUCCUUCCGUAGGGUGAACUGCGGAAGGAUCAUUG
rnacentral:rRNA from 2 species